rnacentral:misc_RNA from 1 species
GCAAACUUGGUCAUUUAGAGGAAGUAAAAGUCGUAACAAGGUUUCCGUAGGUGAACCUGCGGAAGGAUCAUUACCGAUUCUAAAGGAUGUGCUGGCUUUAACAAGCAUGUGCACUCCAAAACCUCAUACACUUGUGCAUCAUUUGUAGUCUGGCAUUAAAGGGAAAAUAUUUUUCCUGCUAUGGCUAUGUUUUAUAUACAAGCUUAUUAUUUAUAGAAUGUUAUAUUGACUUAACAAGUCUAAAAUUUAAUACAACUUUCAACAACGGAUCUCUUGGUUCUCGCAUCGAUGAAGAACGCAGC